UUUUGACUAGUGUUUACGUGAGUGUGUGUGUGGGUUGUGACUAUUAGUAGUUAGUUUGAGCUGGAAUGGAGGGCAAGAUUUAUAGCUGAUAUUUUGGGAAGUUUCCCACUUAUGGUGUGAAAACAAUUAGGGAAAAAUGCUCAUUUUAAUUAUGAGAAGAUAUGGGAAUCUCUUAGACAUUAUGGAGGGAAAUUUGUCAACUAAGUGAUUUCUCUUACCCUAAGCACUCGGUCAACCCCUGUAUAAAUAGAAAAGAAAGAAAUAAAAAAAAAGGGAUGAUAUCUCACUACAUCACACCAAGCCACCAGCCCACAUAGUGUUAAGAGAAAAAGAAGGAAAAAAAAAGGAAGGAAAGAAAGAGAUCAAGGCAAAUAACGGUAAGGGCUUCAAAGAUUUUUAGUCUAGUAUUACUUCUUCUCUUAUCCUGAAAUCCCUAUAUAUAUAUAAAUAUAUAAAACAAUAUGAUUUGCAUGUAGGAGAUUGAAUUAUCAUAGGUCUGGGAGUGUACAGGGGUUCACGUUCAAAUAAAGGGUUCUUAUUCUAUAGGACAUCUAAGCGUGGUUCACAACACCAAGAGGCUCUUUGUGAAGUGUUCCCGCUCGUUGAAUUUGCUUGGACUUGAGGUAGCAAAUAGGAUUUCUCUAUGGCACGCGUGGUGACGUGAGGAGUUCUUUCAUCAUGGGGUGUAUGGCGUGGGGUAAUCCUAUGGACGAUAAAACGAUCAACGUAGAACGCCAUUUAAAUUAUGUUUUGUUUUUUUUAAGGGACUUUCCUAAAUUAUCAGUGGGAAUCUGUUAUUUAAUUUAUUUGGUUUCUUUGAACUUUGCAUAAAAACCUAUGUUUUAUUUUAAACUUGUGGCGCCAACUUGCAUGGUUUUAAAUAAGUUCCCCUGAGACUUUAAUAAUGGAUGGUAUUCUUUUAUAAACUAUGUUAUGCGAAUGUUUUGUAAGUAUUAGUCUAGGGCGUUCUUUACAAAUGGUAUCAGAGACGGUCGUCCAUGUUUCUAAGGACCCCUCCCAUACACGCUAAAGAUGGGAAAAUCUCACUUCACCGCGUCGUAAGUAUUUGCUUGUGUGUUAUUACUUGCUUCUAUUUUAUUUAAUUUUUCUAUUGUUAACUGCUGUAUUAAAUAUGCCUCCUGUGUUAAGAACAACAAAGAAACAAUUGAUUAAGGAGAUCCGUGCAAUUCCUAAAGUUGAGCUUGACGAAGACUACUACGAUUGGAAGGUAGCGGUCUUAAAGACGAUGAAGGAGGUUUGCGAACGUAUACAAAGAAUGAUGAAUAAGAGAGGAGCCUUGCUUUGGCCCAUAGAACAAUACUGGGUAAUGAGUGAGGCGUUGUCAAUGUACCCAGAGGCUCUUUUACAGUUAAAUCAAUCAUGGAAUAACGUUGUGAUAGAUGACAUGGAGUUUAACACUAUGGAGUUUACGAUUCGCGACUUUUUGGUAAGUUACGAGCUAGAUCAUCAGGAGCUGGUAUUAGUAAUGACGGAUGAUGGCGAAAUAGAGGAGCGUUUAGAGUCGAUAUAUGACGUGGAAGAAGUACUGCGUGCUAUACCGCGUCCGACCCCGAGGAUGGAGAUUAUGGCAAGUGCGCCUGACUAUUACCACAUUCCGGAGGACAUUUUCAACUAUGAUUCAGGGGACGAGUCCAUCAUCGAGGACUAGAGUCGACUUCAUGAUCGUCGCAUGGGGAUGCCAAUAAAUAAGAUGGAUCAAUAAUAAUAAUUUUUCUAAAACUUUAAGGAAAUAUGUUUUGGAUUAAUUAAACACUUUUUGGGAUUGUUUAAUUUUGGAAUAUUUUAAACAUUUUUGAAUGCUAUGGAUAUUUUAUGCAAAUUUAAUGGUGUGAUGUGAAUGCAUGAUUUACAAAUAUCCAUCGAUAUGCAAGUUCCUUCCUUACGAUUUUUCCUGUGAUUGCCUUAGAACUUCAUCAUGUCAACCAGAGGAAGAGGAGGAAGGGGAAGAGGUAGAGGCAGAGGAAAGGGUGCCUCCACAAGGUCUGAAACUAUGGCCAUCCCUGAUGUUGAAGUGCCAACUGUUCAACCUGCAGCUCCAGCAGCGCCAACUGUGGACUUAGCUGCAGAGGUGGCAAGGUUAAGAGAAGAGUUGAGACUAAGAGAUGAGGAGCUAGCACAAGCUAGACAAGCACCACAGACAUCUCAAACGCACCCUAUACCUCGAGUACCAGUGGCACAACCGCAGCCGCCAGUACCACCACCUGCACCACAACCUGUAGCCUAUGGGUUUGAACUAGUAUAUGAACGCUUCAGGAAACAAGCCCCACCGACGUUUGAAGGGAAAGCUGAUCCAUUGGUGGCAGAAGAUUGGCUAAGGUCUGUUGAGGCUAUUUUUGAUCAUAUGGAGUUAGA